rnacentral:rRNA from 1 species
AACGAACGCUGGCGGCAUGCCUAACACAUGCAAGUCGAACGAUCCCUUCGGGCAUAGUGUCGCACGGGUGUGUAACGCGUGGGAACCUGCCCUGUGGUACGGACUAACUCCGGGAAACUGGAGCUAAUACCAUAUGUGUGCCCUUGGCCAAAGAUUUAUCGCCACGGGAUGGGCCCGCGUAGGAUUAGCUUUUUGUUGGGGUAACGGCCUACCAAGGCUCCGAUCCUUAGCUUGUCUGAGAGGCUGAUCAGCCACACUGGGACUGAGACACGGCCCAGACUCCUACGGGAGGCAGCAGUGGGGAAUAUUGGACAAUGGGCGCAAGCCUGAUCCAGCAAUGCCGCGUGAGUGAUGAAGGCCUUCGGGUUGUAAAGCUCUUUCGCACGCGACGAUGAUGACGGUAGCGUGAGAAGAAGCCCCGGCUAACUUCGUG